UACGUAGGGGGGCAAGCGUUUGUCCGGAUUUAUUGGGCGUAAAGAGCGUGUAGGCGGCCAUACAGGUCCGUUGUGAAAACUGGAGGCUUAACCUCCAGACGUCGAUGGAAACCGUAUGGCUAGAGUCCGGAAGAGGAGAGUGGAAUUCCUGGUGUAGCGGUGAAAUGCGUAGAUAUCCGGAGGAACACCGGUGGCGAAGGCGGCUUCCUGGACCGACACUGACGCUGAGGCGCGAAAGCUAGGGGAGCAAACGGG
rnacentral:rRNA from 1 species